rnacentral:pre_miRNA from 1 species
GUGUUCCCAGGAGUUCCCUUGACCACUUCAUGAGGGCUUACUUCGUUUUAUGAAGUCCUGAAGUGUUUGGAGGAACUCUGGGGCUCAC